GCACCCCGGGAGCCGAGCAUUAUAGAAUGAAGAGGACCAGGGACAAGUCAGAUUCCCAGGGCCUCUGAGGAGCAGAACAAGAUCGCUUUGGCCAGACACAAUCAGGAUUGGUUAUGGAAUUAAGCCAGCUUCCAGAACUGGAGGUGAGACAAGACUGGCUUCCCAAGUGGCUCAGAGGUAAAGAAUCCACCUGCCAAUGCAGAAGACACAGGAGACAUGGGUUCCAUCCCUGGAUCAGGAAGAUUCCCUGGAGGAAGAAGUGGCAACCCACUUCAGUAUUCUUGCCUGGGAAAUCCCAUGGAUGGAGGAGCCUGGUGAGAUACAGUCCACAGGGUUGCAAAGAGUCGGACACGACUUAGUGACUGAGCAGGUACACAGAGAAGACUGAGUUCAGUUUACCUGGGUUCUCUGGUUGCUACUAACCUAGGUCCAUCUUGUUCACCAUCAGGGAUCUCAUUCUAAUGUUGGAGUUUAAGAUGCUGUUCACCUAACCCUGAGGCAGGCUUAGUAUCUCAGUACCAGGUUUCCCUUAUAGUAACUCCAGAUUUUAAUUUUUCUUACUCCUCUCCAGCUUCAACUCAUGGUGUGCUCUCUCUGUCUGGUAAUGUAAACCUGAGGUUUUUCCUUACUUUCUUGUGGGUCCAGAAGAAUAUUUUCCAGAUCAUGGGCUGUAGUUUAUCAAAUAACCAGAUAUAUUUUAGCUUUUGUAUCUUAUCAUCCAGAUUAUCUUGACAUACUACUUUCUCCAGUCGCUCUGUUGGCUGAUUUGAAUUGUAGUCAUUUCUUCCCUUUAUCUGGUCUGACAUGCACCAUGGUUUAUAAAAGCUGUUAAGUUUUUCUACUUUUAAGGGAAAUCUUCCAUAUUUUCUAACAUAGAUACAUAUUUUACCCUUAAAACUUUUUUCUUGGGUCAUUUCAAUAGUUUUAGGAAUAUAGAGUUGUUGAACAAAUAAG
rnacentral:lncRNA from 1 species